rnacentral:lncRNA from 1 species
UCUGUGUGGUUGAACAUGAAAUUGCCUCCGAUGCUACAAAGAAAAUUUGUUUAAUGUCAAAUGUUGCAAUAUAUGCUAAGUAUUACACGUGGACAGGAUGUUCCCCAAAAAAUAAGUUAUACACACCCCAAGGGUACACGCUAGUGUCAUAUGGAAAAUUACUGGGUCACCUGUAAGAUGGUAAUCAGCCAUGCAACUAAUCAGGUUACUUAACUGACCAUGUCACUUCAAUUUAAAGUUUAUCGGUAGAUCAAAAUGAUAAAUUCGUUUUAAUUAAACAUUUCAGAUCUAAAGGAUUUAUCAUUAUAAUGAAGUGAAAUAAUUAAACCAUAUCGUAUUAUUUUCAAAAGAUUAUUUAUUUUCAUAUUUUUUUUAUCUAUGCCGGGAAAGAAUUGAAAACUGUAUUUAUAAUUUUUAAAUUUAUUUUAUAAAAAAAUCCGUGUAGGUCUCAUGAAAUGGAACCCACGCAUUCCUACUUAAGAUUUAUAAAGGAGUAGGUUCAGUAAGACCCCUUUUCGGCCCCAAAAUAUAGCAGUUUUACUAAAUUGUAUAGUACUAGAACCGAACACCUGUUUUGGGAUAUAUAUACAUAUAGUUAAUUUUUACCGUAAAUAACUGCGAGAAUAAUGAAUAAUACUAAAUAACUGCGAGAAAAUGAAUAAUACACAAGUUGAUAAUUGUCUCUUCUCUGCUUAUUAAUUUGCAUGCAAUAUUUUCUCUGAUUUACUUGUGAGAUCACCGACACUAAUAAUAAUUACCUAAAAAAAAUAGGUGCUCCGUACUGGGAAGAUCAUAUCGGAUCCUAUCAAUUUAUUGGUUCCAUUCCCCCAAUUAAAUGAGUCUACACGUCUCCUUAGAAAAAAAUGCCUUGCAAUGCGUCUGAACUACUAAGUACUUCCAUAUAAUUUCGAAAACAGAUAAUAAUCUAUUUCACUGGAUGAGAUUGGGCUGACGGAUUUUUAAAUGGAAAUGUAUUAAUUUUUAUUUAUAGCACAAGUUUUACAAGGCAAGAUUAUUCACCCUGUUCGCCCUACAAAUCAAAUGGUUGCCUCCUUACACCUACACGAGCUAAAACAUAUACAUAUGAACAUUUGAUAUCAUUUAUUUUGUGUGACAACUCUUCACCAAUGACCUGAGUGAAAGGUUGACAUGGGCAGAUCCAGAAAUUUCCAUUUUUUUUUAAUUUUUUGUUGUUUUUUUUUUUUUUUGGGGGGGGGGGCAGAGGGGGAUGCUUGCUCCAGUCAUGCUUCAGUGAUUCCCUAUAUAAUCAACAAAAUAUUUCACACCAAAAAGGGGGGGCGGGGCUUUCUCCUUAAUAAGAAAUCUCUGUUUUCAGGCAUAGGCUCAUAUAAAUUUGCCUUUUGAAGAACUGAAAUAAAUAUGAAACGGCUAAUGAGUUUUCAGAUGCUUUACAUUAAAAUACAUCAUGUACAUACAUGUGACAUACACAAUUAUAUAUAAAUGUAGAAUCAAAUCUUGAUAAAUGUAUGUAGUUGAAAUUGUUAGCUUUAAACAUUAAAAAAAUGAACUCCCAAAGUUUAAACACAAUUAAGAAUGACCAUGUACAUGAUGUACAUGUAGUCUGUAAUGUAUGCCAUUGCCAUGAAGCUAGAUCAUUGUAGGUAAACUGUCAUCUAUUCCCUUAAAUCUUUGUCCCCAGUCACCCCAAGUUUGAUUUAAAUUAGGGAGCUUCCAUUUGAUUUUUAUGGGGGGGGGCUAGGAUGAAAUUUGAAAAAAAUAGGCAGAACAGGAGUUUUGAGAAGAAAAAAAAGGCAGGAUGAGACACUAGCAAAAAAAAAAGUCAGGACGACAAUUUUGGUAAAAAAAGUCAGGAUAAACUAAAAAAAGAAAGGCAGGAACGAACAGAGUGAAAAAUAAAAAGGCAGGACAGAGAUUACAGCUAAAAAAAAAAAAUGCAGGAUAAAAUUUUUCAUCCUAGCCCCCCCCCCCCCCUAAAAAUCAAAUGGUAGCUCCCUUAGUCAAGUAUAUAUCUACUCUAUUAGGUCUCUAGUUUGGAUAGUGUAUAACUUGCAAAUUAAAAUCAUACUCCUUCCAAAUUUCUUUCUUUAAAAUAUUAUGGAUGAAAUAGCAAGUAAAGAAUGAAAUUAAAUUGGAUGAAAUGUGUCAAUUUUUUUGGUAAAGUAGUAUGUCUGAAGUUGUCAAACUUAAUGAUAGACCCUUCAGGGGCGGAUCCAGUCAUUUUAAAAAGGGGUUUCCUAACCCAGGACAAAAAGGGGGGGGGGGUAAUUACAUGUCCCCAUUCAAAUGCAUUGAUAGUCCAAAAAAGGGGGGUCUUUGACACAUUCCCCAUUCCCAUUCUCAAUUUUAUCAUGUAGUCGUCGUAGUCCGAAGACACUUAGUUUUCGCAUAAUUACUUUUAGUAUAAGUUAACAGAAAUCUAUGAAACUCAAACACAGGGUUUGUGACCAGAGUUUUUGUCCAGAG